AGUGAACGCUGGCGGUAGGCCUAACACAUGCAAGUCGAACGGCAGCACAGAGGAGCUUGCUCCUUGGGUGGCGAGUGGCGGACGGGUGAGGAAUACAUCGGAAUCUACUCUGUCGUGGGGGAUAACGUAGGGAAACUUACGCUAAUACCGCAUACGACCUACGGGUGAAAGCAGGGGACCUUCGGGCCUUGCGCGAUUGAAUGAGCCGAUGUCGGAUUAGCUAGUUGGCGGGGUAAAGGCCCACCAAGGCGACGAUCCGUAGCUGGUCUGAGAGGAUGAUCAGCCACACUGGAACUGAGAAACGGUCCAGACUCCUACGGGAGGCAGCAGUGGGGAAUAUUGGUCAAUGGGCGCAAGCCUGAUCCAGCCAUACCGCGUGGGUGAAGAAGGCCUUCGGGUUGUAAAGCCCUUUUGUUGGGAAAGAAAUCCAGCUGGCUAAUACCCGGUUGGGAUGACGGUACCCAAAGAAUAAGCACCGGCUAACUUCGUGCCAGCCGCCGCAGUAA
rnacentral:rRNA from 1 species